rnacentral:rRNA from 1 species
GAUGAACGCUAGCGGCAGGCCUAACACAUGCAAGUCGAGGGGUAGAACACUUCGGUGUUUGAGACCGGCGCACGGGUGCGUAACGCGUAUGCAAUCUACCUUGUACAGGGGAAUAGCCCAGAGAAAUUUGGAUUAAUGCCCCAUAGUAUAUAACAUUCGCAUGUUGGUUAUAUUAAAGUUCCAACGGUACAAGAUGAGCAUGCGUCCCAUUAGUUAGUUGGUAAGGUAACGGCUUACCAAGGCGAUGAUGGGUAGGGGUCCUGAGACGGAGAUCCCCCACACUGGUACUGAGACACGGACCAGACUCCUACGGGAGGCAGCAGUGAGGAAUAUUGGUCAAUGGGCGCAAGCCUGAACCAGCCAUGCCGCGUGCAGGAAGACGGUCCUAUGGAUUGUAAACUGCUUUUAUACAGGAAGAAACAACUCUACGUGUAGAGUCUUGACGGUACUGUAGGAAUAAGGAUCGGCUAACUCCGUGCCAGCCGCCGCUGUAAAAC